rnacentral:rRNA from 1 species
AGAGUAAGAUCCUCACUCAGAUUGAACGCUGUACGGCAGGCCUAGAACACAUGCAAGUCGAGCGGUAGAGAGAAGCUUGCUUCUCUUGAGAGCCCCGGACGGGUGAGUAAUGCCUAGCUUUCUGCCUGGUAGUGGGGGAGGAACGUUCGGAAACGGACGCUAAUACCGCAUACGUCCUACGGGAGAAAGCAGGGGAUCUUCGGGCCUUGCGCUAUUAGAUGAGCCUAGGUCGGAUUAGCUAGUUCAUGGGGUAAUGGCUCACCAAGGCGACGAUCCGUAACUGGUCUGAGAGGAUGAUCAGUCACACUGGAACUGAGACACGGUCCAGACUGGACGCGAGGCAGCAGUGUAGGAAUAUUGGACAAUGGGCGAAAGCCUGAUCCAGCCAUGCCAUGUGUGUGAAGAAGGUCUUCGGAUUGUAAAGGCACUUUAAGUUGGGAGGAAGGGUUGUAGAUUAAUACUCUGCAAUUUUGACGUUACCGACAGAAUAAGCACCGGCUAACUCUGUGCCAGCAGCCGCGGUAAUACAGAGGGUGCAAGCGUUAAUCGGAAUAUCCGACUUACUGGGCGUAUUAGCGCG